CGGGAUUUCUCCUUCCUCAGCUCCGAGCUGCUCCUAAAUGAAGAAGCAAGGGGUCAGUGCCCAGAACAUCCCUGUCAUCCUUCCUCACUGCUGGUAGAGUCACGCUCACGCCCCUAUCCACGGUAAGAUGCACUCGGUAAAAACGAAGCCCAGUUCUGGACCCUGAUCCUGAUUCAGAUGUGAGAGAGACGCCAGAGCAGAGACUGAAAACGCCAGCAAGACCCAAGGAGAGCACGAGGCAGACACGCCUCAGUUUGACUCCCAACGUGUGUGCCUACAAGGUGUGAAAAAUGGCAGCGCGUACAAACCCGGCUGGCCUGGGCCACCAGACCGACUUGUGCGCAUUUUCCUCUUUGUCGCAGGACAGAAGAAGGAAGACCCACACCCGCACUCAAACCCACCUCUCUCAGGAGGCCUAAAGAUACCGGGAUCGUCUUACGAAACUCACAUCAAGCACUAACAUGGGAGAAUCAGAACCCAUGGGCCAGAAGUCUUAACUUGUCUUGCUGACUCUGAAAGCGUCAAGGCACUUAGCAUCCCCUCAGUGGUACCCACUUGACUGUUACUGUGAGGACUUAAUAUGAUCAUUUAUGUGAAACCUUAGCUCCAGGCACAUCCCACUCUAAGCAAUCAGCAUUAGCUUAAGAGUAUUUUAAAAAAAAAAAAAAGACAAUCUGUCCAUGAAAAGAUGACCUAUCCUAUCAACAGCAUAGAGCGUGUCCUCAGAAAAAUGCACACAUUACAUGUAACAUUUUUCUGUUAUGUCAUACAGCAAGAAAUACAGUAAAUGAUAAACAUUC